GUGCUCGCUUUGGCAGCAUAGAAACUCAAAUUAGAGCACUACAGAGAAGAUUAGCAUGGCCUCUGUGUAAGGACACAAAAAUUGAUAAAGCAUUCCAUAUUUAA
ensembl:snRNA U6 U6 spliceosomal RNA